AGGGCAUCUAUCUUGUUUUCUAAGAAGCAUUUUGGAGGUUUUUCUUUACCUGGAGAAAGCACUGGCUAGAGCUAUCUGGCAUACAAUGUAAAGAAGCUUCACGAAAAAUAAAAGAAAAGUGAAAAUAUAUUUAGCUACAAAUGAUUGUCCUCUUCCCUGAAAAUUACAGAAGAGGAAAGCAACAGUGUGUUCAGCAAGCUGGAACUAAACUGUUACUGAAUGGAGAGUUCCCAUCCUGCCUCAGUGGAAUCAAAGAAAAGAGAAAGGCUCCAAAAUGAACACAAUGCGUGUUAUUUGCUACCAUAAACUGUGCAACUGGUUUCUACUGCUGUGUUGCAAUUGAAUAGUAAUCAGGAGAAGUUACACGUUGUUCUUAGAAAUAAUACAACGAAUCCUGUCAAUCUUAAGUCCUGACACUGAAUUUAACGCUCUCUGUUUAGUCCUACCAUCAAGGAUGAUUUGCAGGUGAAGAAUUCUUGAUAGUCAGAUGCAGACUACGUCUUCAGAUCCUAUGGCCUAAGGUUAUUAAGGUGGGAGAAGCAAAACAAAUGCGGUUCUCAUCCAGUAAUAAUGGAUUUACAAGAAUUUGAAACAAAACUUUCCUUCCAGCUACUGCUUUCAUGUCAGAGAAAUAAAAUACAUGUACAAGAUUUAAAGCUUUAUGUGUCUAACCCUUUCUGACCCCUUUUACAUUCAGUUAUUAAUAAUAAUAACUAUGAUAAUAUUGCUUAUGCCCAGGGCUGAAAUGAGGGUUAAUUAGUUAAUAUUUAUAAAGCUUUCUGAAAAUGAAAAGUACUGUUUAAGCCCUAAGUGUA